rnacentral:tRNA from 1 species
GCCUGGGUAGCUCAGUUGGUAGAGCACGUCUUUGGUAAAGACGAGGUCAGCGGUUCAAUCCCGCUCUCAGGCU